AGUGAACGCUGGCGGCAGGCCUAAUACAUGCAAGUCGAACGGCAGCACAGCAGAGCUUGCUCUGUGGGUGGCGAGUGGCGGACGGGUGAGGAAUACAUGGGAAUCUGCCCAGUCGUGGGGGAUAACGUAUGGAAACGUACGCUAAUACCGCAUGCGCCCUACGGGGGAAAUCGGGGACCGCAAGGCCUGACGCGAUUGGAUGAGCCCAUGUUCGAUUAGCUAGUUGGCGGGGUAAAGGCCCACCAAGGCGACGAUCGAUAGCUGGUCUGAGAGGAUGAUCAGCCACACUGGAACUGAGACACGGUCCAGACUCCUACGGGAGGCAGCAGUAGGGAAUAUUGGACAAUGGGGGCAACCCUGAUCCAGCCAUGCCGCGUGAGUGAAGAAGGCCCUCGGGUUGUAAAGCUCUUUUGCCCGGAAAGAAAAGCAAUCGGUUAAUACCCGGUUGUUCUGACGGUACCGGAAGAAUAAGCACCGGCUAACUUCGUGCC
rnacentral:rRNA from 1 species